rnacentral:tRNA from 1 species
GGAGACAUAGCUCAAGUUAUAGAGCAGUGACCUAGUAAUCAUGAGGCACUGGGUUCAAUCCCCAGUGUCCCA